rnacentral:pre_miRNA from 1 species
AGAAGGAACAACGCCAGGGGCCGCGGGCAGCUCUGCAGCCCUGGAGUCAGCUCCCACAGUAACUACGGCAGCUCUCCGUCUGCGGGGCCUGGAGGCUCCGGGCGGGG